GCGGGCAUGCCGGGCGGCGGCGGCGGCGGGCCCGCGGCGGCGCUGCGCGAGCAGGAGCGGGUGUACGAGUGGUUUGGGCUGGUGCUGGGCUCGGCGCAGCGCCUGGAGUUCAUGUGCGGGCUGCUGGACCUGUGCAACCCGCUGGAGCUGCGCUUCCUCGGCUCGUGCCUGGAGGACCUGGCGCGCAAGGACUACCACUACCUGCGCGACUCCGAGGCUAAGGCCAACGGCCUCUCGGACCCCGGGCCGCUGGCGGACUUCCGAGAGCCCUCCGUGCGCUCGCGCCUCAUCGUCUACCUGGCGCUGCUGGGCUCGGAGAACCGUGAGGCCGCCGGCCGCCUGCACCGCCUCCUGCCCCAGGUGGACUCGGUGCUCAAGAGUCUGCGCGCGGCUCGGGGCGAGGGUUCGCGGGGCGGCGCGGAGGACGAGCCCGGCGAGCGCGGGGAGGACGGCGAAGGCGAGGAGGACGCAGAGAAGGACGGUUCUGGCCCGGAAGGCAGCGGCGCCGAGUCCCGGCCCGGCGGCGGGCUGGGCUUCAGGGCCCAGGAGGAACUGCUGCUGCUCUUCACCAUGGCUUCGCUGCACCCGGCGUUCUCCUUCCACCAGCGGGUCACCCUGAGGGAGCACCUGGAGAGGCUCCGCGCCGCGCUCCGCGGGGGGCCCGAGGACGCGGAGGCGGAGCCGUGCAACUUUGCCGGCCCCCGGGCCCAGGGUGACGCCGCCCCCGGUGACUUCCCGCAGAGCGAGGAGACCAGCGUGCUAGAGCAAGCCCUGACACCUCGCGACGGCCUUCCUGGGGCGCCGCACAGAGCCCAGCGAGAAGCUGUGCACAUUGAGAAGAUCAUGUUGAAAGGAGUCCAGAGAAAAAGGGCUGACAAAUAUUGGGAGUACACCUUCAAAGUAAAUUGGUCUGAUCUUUCAGUCACAACAGUAACAAAAACCCACCAAGAACUACAGGAAUUUCUACUGAAGCUCCCAAAGGAAGUGUCUUCGGAGACUUUUGAUAAGACCAUCCUAAGAGCCCUGAAUCAGGGUUCACUGAAGAGGGAAGAACGGCGACAUCCUGACCUAGAGCCCAUCCUAAGGCAGCUAUUUUCAACUUCAUCCCAAGCUUUUCUACAGAGUCAGAAAGUGCACAGCUUCUUUCAGUCCAUAUCACCAGACCCUCUGCACAGCCUCAAUAACUUCCAGUCCUCUCUGAAGACUUCAAAAAUAUUAGAACACUUAAAGGAAGACAGCUCAGAAGCUUCAAGUCAAGAAGAAGAUGUGUUACAACACACCGUAAUCCACAAGAAACACACCGGGAAGAGUCCCCUUGUGAACACCAUCGGUACAAGUUGUUCUCCGUUGGAUGGGCUCACUGUGCAGUAUUCUGAGCAGAAUGGAGUUGUGGAUUGGAGGAAGCAGAGCUGCCCCCCUCUUCAGCACCCGGAGCACUGUGUGGCCUUAGCUGACCAGCAUUCAACCGAAAAACGAAGCUUAUCUUCAAUAAAUAAGAAGAAAGGAAAGCCACAAAUAGAAAAGGAGAAAAUUAAGAAAACUGACAACAGAUUGAAUAGUAGAAUAAAUGGGAUCAGAUUGUCUGCUUCUCAGCAUGCCCACGGUGGUUCCGUGAAAGAUGUGAACUUGGAUGUUGGAUCUGGACGUGACACGUGUGGAGAGACCUCUUCAGAGAGCUACAGCUCUCCCUCGAGUCCACGGCAUGAUGGGAGAGAGAGCUUUGAAAGCGAAGAAGAGAAAGACCGAGACACAGACAGCAAUUCUGAGGAUUCUGGGAAUCCGUCAACAACCAGGUUUACGGGCUACGGUUCUGUCAACCAGACCGUCACUGUCAAGCCACCUGUUCAGAUUGCUUCAUUAGGAAGCGACAACGGAGGCCUUUUAGAAGAUGCCCUAAAUGCACCCAAGUAUCAGCAUAUUUCUUUUAUGCCAACUUUACACUGUGUCAUGCACAACGGUGCCCAGAAGUCUGACGUCGGUGUCCCUCCACCCAAGUCCGCUGACGGCAAGACCAUAGGGAUGCUUGUUCCCAGUCCUGUUGCUAUUUCUGCAAUAAGGGAGUCUGCAAACUCUACCCCUGUUGGAGUACUGGGGCCAGCAGCUUCUGCCGGAGAACCCGAGAAACACCUGGAGUUACUGGCUUCCCCUUUGCCUCUUCCGUCAGCGUUCCUCGCACACGGCAGCGCCCCUGCUCUGCACCUGACAAUUCAGAGGCUAAAGUUGCCGCCACCGCAGGGGUCCUCGGAGAGCUGCCCGGUCAACAUCCCACAGCAGCCGCCCGCAAGUCUGAGCAUCGGAUCACCAAACACUGCCUUUCUCCCUGUCCACAGCCCGGGGAGCUUUCCGGGGUCUCCCAUUGCUACCACGGACCCCAUCGCCAAGUCUGCGUCCCCGGUGGUAGGACUCAAUCAAAUGGUGCCUCAACUCGAGGGAAGCACCGGGACAGUCCCUCAGCCCAGCAAUGUGAAGGUUGUUGUCCCCGCAGCCGGCCUCUCGGCUGCACAGCCACCAGCAUCCUACACCCUGCCGGGGCCCCCCCUUGGCACCGGCGCGCUGCCCAGCCAGAGCUCCGGCGCGCUCAGCCCAGCNNNNNNNNNNNNNNNNNNNNNNNNNNNNNNNNNNNNNNNNNNNNNNNNNNNNNNNNNNNNNNNNNNNNNNNNNNNNNNNNNNNNNNNNNNNNNNNNNNNNCCGGCCGGCGCCCCCGCGGUCCCCACCCACACCCCGGGCCCCGCGCCCAGCCCGAGCCCCGCGCUCACCCACAGCACCGCGCAGAGCGACAGCACGUCCUACAUCAGCGCCGUGGGGAACACGAACGCUAACGGGACAGUCCUGCCGCCGCAGCAGAUGGGCUCGGGGCCCUGCGGCUCUUGCGGGCGACGGUGCGGCUGUGGGACCAACGGCAGCCUUCAGCUGAACAGCUACUACUAUCCUAACCCGAUGCCCGGGCCCAUGUACCGGGUCCCGUCCUUCUUCACUCUGCCGUCCCUCUGCAACGGCAGCUACCUCAACCAAGCACAUCAGAGCAAUGGAAACCAACUUCCUUUCUUUCUGCCUCAGACUCCGUAUGCAAACGGACUGGUGCACGACCCCGUCCUGGGGAGCCAAGCCAGCUACGGCAUGCAGCAGAUGGCGGGCUUCGGGAGGUUCUACCCCGUGUACCCAGCGCCCGGCGUGGUUGCCAGUGCGAGCGGUUCGGGGCCCAAGAAGAACGGGAACGUCUCCUGUUACAACUGCGGUGUGAGUGGACACUACGCACAGGAGUGCAAGCAGUCGUCCAUGGAGGCCAGCCCACAAGGUAGCAUCUAG
ensembl:lncRNA